rnacentral:lncRNA from 1 species
AGAGAACCUGCCAGACUCAGGCCUUUUCUGAAAAAAGCCUCUCCUUCGAGAUUUUGGAGGAUGGUGGAAUUUUUAUGACAAGCUGUAUGGGACAAGUACAUUCACCAUGGGAUUGAAAAGAAGGAAGGCCCAUAUUGAGUGCCUGUUGUGGUUGGUGAUAUGAAUGUCUACACAAAACCACUUCUGUUACAUGGACCAAGAAUGUCACAAACCAAGCAUGUGCAGGUGAGGACAUGGCACUCAGGAUUUUGCAAUAUCCAUGAAGAUUUUUGUGUAUUGCAGUGGUUAACAUUACAUUGUCAAGUGUGUAUCUGUUCCAGCUACUUACUUCAUUUGUGUUGUCAUUUCACAGCAUUGGAGUCCAAGUUCCCCCCAACAUAGAUGAGAAAAUUCAGACUCUUAGAAAUGUGUCUCAAAAAGUCAAGGACUUUUACAUCAUCUCACUUUUUACUUGUCCUACCCUCUCACUCCAUAAGAAGAACAGUAUGUGACUAGAAAUAACUUCAACAUGCUUGUUCGUACUUGUACUGAGCUUCAAAAUAUUCCAACAGAGGAUGCUUACAUGCAAGGUCUGGCAGCACUGAAGCCUUCCACUGACACUGACCUAAGCUUGAGAAUAGAUUUGACAAUGAAAACAGUGAACUGAUGUGAACUGACUUCAGUGAAUACCCUGCCAUUUACAUAUAGAGUUGAAGAAUGUUUAAUGGAUUCAAGAAAUUGCUGAGAAUUUGUGGAUAACUGUAAACUGAAAUUCUGUAGUACACUUCUUAUGCUAGUAUAAAUUCUUGGAAAAUCCAUGAUGAGUAGACAUGUACCAGUUCAUCUUUUGUCAGUAUGAUGAAAAAUAUUUAAAUUAUAUUAAAUCCAGCAUUUCUGUGAGACAGCCAAUCACACAGCAUGCAAAAGCAAUUGACAGGUUAAUUAUGCAAGGUUUGAGUAUUUGAAUCACAUUUUCUUCUGCCAAGUUUAAACUAUUUUCUCUCUAGGUAAUUAUGUUGGCACCUGGCAGGUUUAGGAAAAAAGAAUAACAAAGAAAAUAUCAAAGAAACGUUUCCUAGAGAAACAAAUAAUUUAAAGUGUCAUGCUUUGUCUCGCAUGUAAAGUAUGCCAUUUGAGCUUAAUGUAUCCUGAACUUUUCACCUGCUAAUGUGAUUAACAGAAAAUAUUAACAGAGACUUCAUUCAAAUGGAAAUGGAACAAGAGAAAAGAUGCAACAGAGGUGUGGGGAAUAGCCUCACAGUUAGAUGCACACAGGAAAUUGUAUGAUAUUUUCCUUAUGAAAUACUACUUGAGUUAUAUAGCUGCCUGUCUUCUGAAAUACGUGCAGCAAACAGUACCAAGAUGACCAUGACCUCAUUCCAGAGAGGUGAGGAAGUAUCAUUUCUAUUUUAUGGCUAGAAAAACUGAAAAAAAGUGUAAUUGGAAUAUGUUUUGCCCAAGGUUAUAGCAGAAGUGCAUGUAAAAGGUGGAUACGGAAAGCAGAUCUCUUCUCAGUCCUAUUUAUUAUCCAGAAAUCUCACUUUAUUCUUUUUUAGAAGUAUUCCUGUAAUCUUCUACUGACAAAUAUAAAAAGUACUAUUAUCAGAGCAAAGAAAAUACACAUAUGCAUUUUCUCUAUACUGAACUGUUAUUUUCUUCUGGUCUUGGCAAUAUUGCCUCAGUAAUAUUAGAAACGUGCCCUUAGUCAUCCUGUUAUCUUUUCAAAUAUUUUCCAAUUAUUUUUAUCAAUUCAGUCAAUAUACUCAUGGUUGGCACAUAAGGGGGUCUUUUUGUCUGUAUCAUCAAGAGGUACCAAAGCAAAACACAUACCUGCAAGGGGCAAGGCCUAUGGCUCCACAAGUUUAUCUGCAAAAGUUUCACCAGUCAUCCAUUUUUCCCAACGAAAAUAUUGUGAAACAGGGCUUCAGUGCCGCUUGGGUCUGGAUCCUAGUUAGAUUGACACCGACAAUUAAUGUUUUAUGAGGCCAUUCCCAAGGCCACAGAAAGCUGUGUAAGGUGAAAAUAAGGCAUGGUGUUAAUUAUGGCUGUAAGAUAUGGAUCAAACAGUGCAGUCAGCACAGCUCUUUUCUGCUCAAAUGUUCCAGAUUCUGAAGUCUUAGUGACAGUCUGGAUGUUAUUUUUUCUAUUAGUGUAAUCAGAGCUAUCUUUUCUUUGGGGUUUCAGGUUUAUCCUGCAUUUUUCCAAGAAGAAAAUUUAAAGUUGAUAAUUGCAUUAACUUUAUAGAUUGCAUGACUGACAAGUAUAAAUACAUGUGUUCUGCACUUACAACAUUUUAUAGAGUGGAGGGUAAUAAAAACAAGAAUGAAUUAGAGAAUUUGUGAGUA